UGCAGAAUCCCGUGAACCAUCGAGUCUUUGAACGCAAGUUGCGCCCGAUGCCAUUAGGUUGAGGGCACGUCUGCCUGGGCGUCACAUAUCGAAGCCUCUCGCCAAUUUCCUAUAUUGAUAGGGGUAUUGUGCAGGGCGAAUGUUGGCCUCCCGUGAGCUUUAUUGCCUCAUGGUUGGUUGAAAAUCGAGACCUUGGUAGGGUGUGCCAUGAUAGGUGGUGGCUGUGUUACGCACGAGACCAAGUAAGUCAUGUGCUGCUCUAUUGAAUUUAGGCCUCUUUUACCCACAUGCGUUUCGAAACGCUCGUGAUGAGACCUCAGGUCAGGCGGGGCUACCCGCUGAAUUUAAGCAUAUCAAUAAGCGGAGGAAAAGAAACUAACAAGGAUUCCCUUAGUAACGGCGAGCGAACCGGGAUAAGCCCACCAUGAGAAUCGGUCGCCCUCGGCGUUCGA
rnacentral:rRNA from 1 species